GACGAACGCUGGCGGCGUGCCUAAUACAUGCAAGUCGAACGCACUCUCGUUUAGAUUGAAGGAGCUUGCUCCUGAUUGAUAAACAUUUGAGUGAGUGGCGGACGGGUGAGUAACACGUGGGUAACCUGCCCUAAAGUGGGGGAUAACAUUUGGAAACAGAUGCUAAUACCGCAUAAAACCUAACACCGCAUGGUGUAGGGUUGAAAGAUGGUUUCGGCUAUCACUUUAGGAUGGACCCGCGGUGCAUUAAUUAGUUGGUGAGGUAAAGGCUCACCAAGACCGUGAUGCAUAGCCGACCUGAGAGGGUAAUCGGCCACACUGGGACUGAGACACGGCCCAGACUCCUACGGGAGGCAGCAGUAGGGAAUCUUCCACAAUGGACGAAAGUCUGAUGGAGCAACGCCGCGUGAGUGAAGAAGGUUUCGGAUCGUAAACCGCUGUCAGAGGGGAUGAAAUGUAUGUGGGCACUCCCAUGUAUUUGACAUAGCCUCAGAGGAAGCACGGG
rnacentral:rRNA from 1 species